UACAUGGGGUGCAAACGUUGUUCGGAAUUACUGGGCGUAAAGCGCGUGUAGGCUGCUCCGCAAGUCGGAUGUGAAAGCCCUGGGCUCAACCUAGGAAGUGCAUUCGAUACUGCAGAGCUGGAGUCCUGGAGAGGAAGGCGGAAUUCUCGGUGUAGAGGUGAAAUUCGUAGAUAUCGAGAGGAACACCGGUGGCGAAGGCGGCCUUCUGGACAGUGACUGACGCUGAGACGCGAAAGCGUGGGGAGCAAACAGG
rnacentral:rRNA from 1 species